rnacentral:rRNA from 1 species
GACGAACGCUGGCGGCGUGCUUAACACAUGCAAGUCGAACGAGAGCGUAGAGAAAGCUUGCUUUUUCUACAAUCUAGUGGCAAACGGGUGAGUAACGCGUAAACAACCUGCCCUACGGAUGGGGACAACAGCUGGAAACGGCUGCUAAUACCGAAUACGUUCCGAAAGUCGCAUGACUAUCGGAAGAAAGGAUGGCCUCUAUUUAUAAGCUAUCGCCGGAGGAGGGGUUUGCGUCUGAUUAGCUAGUUGGAGGGGUAACGGCCCACCAAGGCGACGAUCAGUAGCCGGUCUGAGAGGAUGAACGGCCACAUUGGAACUGAGACACGGUCCAGACUCCUACGGGAGGCAGCAGUGGGGAAUCUUCCGCAAUGGGCGAAAGCCUGGCGGAGCAACGCCGCGUGAGUGAAGACGGCCUUCGGGUUGUAAAGCUCUGUUAUACGGGACGAAUAAUCUUGUGGUUAAUACCCAUGAGAAGUGACGGUACCGUAAGAGAAAGCCACGGCUAACUACGUG